CCUACGGGAGGCAGCAGUAAGGAAUAUUGGUCAAUGGGCGGAAGCCUGAACCAGCCAUGCCGCGUGCAGGAAGACGGCCCUACGGGUUGUAAACUGCUUUUGUACCGGAAUAAACCUUGAUAUGUAUAUCAAGCUGAAUGUACGGUAAGAAUAAGGAUCGGCUAACUCCGUGCCAGCAGCCGCGGUAAUACGGAGGAUCCAAGCGUUAUCCGGAUUUAUUGGGUUUAAAGGGUGCGUAGGUGGCUUAUUAAGUCAGGGGUGAAAGACGGUAGCUUAACUAUCGCAGUGCCUUUGAUACUGAUGAGCUUGAAUCCACUAGAGGUAGGCGGAAUGUGACAAGUAGCGGUGAAAUGCAUAGAUAUGUCACAGAACACCAAUUGCGAAGGCAGCUUACUAUGGUGGUAUUGACACUGAGGCACGAAAGCGUGGGGAUCAAACAGGAUUAGAUACCCUGGUAGUCCACGCCCUAAACGAUGAAUACUCGAUGUUGGCGAUAUACGGUCAGCGUCUAAGCGAAAGCGUUAAGUAUUCCACCUGGGGAGUACGCCCGCAAGGGUGAAACGUCAAAUGAAUUGACGG
rnacentral:rRNA from 1 species